rnacentral:rRNA from 1 species
UACGUAGGGUGCAAGCGUUGUCCGGAAUUAUUGGGCGUAAAGAGCUCGUAGGCGGUCUGUUGCGUCGGCUGUGAAAACCCGAGGCUCAACCUCGGGCCUGCAGCCGAUACGGGCAGACUAGAGGUAGGUAGGGGAGAAUGGAAUUCCCGGUGUAGCGGUGAAAUGCGCAGAUAUCGGGAGGAACACCGGUGGCGAAGGCGGUUCUCUGGGCCUUACCUGACGCUGAGGAGCGAAAGCGUGGGGAGCGAACAGG